AACGCUGGCGGCAUGCUUUACACAUGCAAGUCGAACGGCAGCGCGGGGGCAACCCUGGCGGCGAGUGGCGAACGGGUGAGUAAUAUAUCGGAACGUACCCAAGAGUGGGGGAUAACGUAGCGAAAGUUACGCUAAUACCGCAUACGAUCUACGGAUGAAAGCAGGGGACCGCAAGGCCUUGUGCUCGUGGAGCGGCCGAUAUCUGAUUAGCUAGUUGGUAGGGUAAAGGCCUACCAAGGCAUCGAUCAGUAGCUGGUCUGAGAGGACGACCAGCCACACUGGGACUGAGACACGGCCCAGACUCCUACGGGAGGCAGCAGUGGGGAAUUUUGGACAAUGGGCGCAAGCCUGAUCCAGCAAUGCCGCGUGAGUGAAGAAGGCCUUCGGGUUGUAAAGCUCUUUUGUCAGGGAAGAAACGGGUUUGGCUAAUAUCCAGAUCUAAUGACGGUACCUGAAGAAUAAGCACCGGCUAACUACGUGCCAGCAGCCGCGGUAAUACGUAGGGUGCAAGCGUUAAUCGGAAUUACUGGGCGUAAAGCGUGCGCAGGCGGUUUUGUAAGUCUGUCGUGAAAUCCCCGGGCUCAACCUGGGAAUGGCGAUGGAGACUGCAAGGCUAGAGUUUGGCAGAGGGGGGUAGAAUUCCACGUGUAGCAGUGAAAUGCGUAGAGAUGUGGAGGAACACCGAUGGCGAAGGCAGCCCCCUGGGUCAAGACUGACGCUCAUGCACGAAAGCGUGGGGAGCAAA
rnacentral:rRNA from 1 species